rnacentral:rRNA from 1 species
UAAAGCGUGCGCAGGCGGUUAUGUAAGACAGAUGUGAAAUCCCCGGGCUCAACCUGGGAACUGCAUUAGUGACUGCAUAGCUGGAGUACGGCAGAGGGGGAUGGAAUUCCGCGUGUAGCAGUGAAAUGCGUAGAUAUGCGGAGGAACACCGAUGGCGAAGGCAAUCCCCUGGGCCUGUACUGACGCUCAUGCACGAAAGCGUGGGGAGCAAACAGGAUUAGAUACCCGUG